rnacentral:other from 1 species
GGGUUUCUGCUCUUCUCGUGGGGGCCAUUUUUCCACUGGCCUAUAAUUUCUCCGAGGGUGCUGGCUCUGUCAUGGCCCUGGCCAUGUUACCCGGCGCCCACCUGGUACUCCAGGCUUUCGGGAAAUCUCGCGCCGCCACGGAUGCAGCGGUUCCCGC